AUUGAACGCUGGCGGCAGGCCUAACACAUGCAAGUCGAGCGGAUGAAGAGAGCUUGCUCUCUGAUUCAGCGGCGGACGGGUGAGUAAUGCCUAGGAAUCUGCCUGGUAGUGGGGGACAACAUUUCGAAAGGAACGCUAAUACCGCAUACGUCCUACGGGAGAAAGUGGGGGAUCUUCGGACCUCACGCUAUCAGAUGAGCCUAGGUACGAUUAGCUAGUUGGUGAGGUAAAGGCUCACCAAGGCGACGAUCGUUAACUGGUCUGAGAGGAUGAUCAGUCACACUGGAACGGAGACACGGUCCAGACUCCUACGGGAGGCAGCAGUGGGGAAUAUUGGACAAUGGGCGAAAGCCUGAUCCAGCCAUGCCGCGUGUGUGAAGAAGGUCUUCGGAUUGUAAAGCACUUUAAGUUGGGAGGAAGGGCAGUAAGUUAAUACCUUGCUGUUUUGACGUUACCGACAGAAUAAGCACCGGCUAACUUCGUGCCAGCAGCCGCCGUAAGAC
rnacentral:rRNA from 1 species